AUACUAUAGGCGAUAGGUCAUUUAGAUUAAAUAAUUCUAGAUCUAGUAACUAGUUAUAGUCAUAGACCUAUAGUAUAGACUUAUAAUCUUAUAAUAUAGAUAUUUACUUUGUAGAGACUAAUGUACAAUAUUAGGCCUACACUCCAGAUCUUGAAAAUCUAGUCUAGAGUUUAGAAUGUUUAAAUUUAUACAAAUAGAAUCUAAAUAAAAUCAAACGUUUAUAUUGGUUUUAAAAUCAGAUAUUGAGAUAUGUCUAGAAAAAUAUGUAUAUAUAUAGUAUAUCUAUAUUAGGGGCCUAUAUAUAAUAGACUAACGCCACUAACGGCUAACCCUAUAGCUGCUAUAGACUAUAGCCCUAUAUUGACAUUGUUUUUUUUUUUUUUAAAUGUUCCUUCAGAGUUGAAAAUAUCUACUUGGUAGUCUAAACCUCAAAGGAGCUUAGGGAAGUGAUGGCAGUUGCAGGGUAUGAACCAGACGACCAUGCAGAGACCAACGAGGCGACCAAACAGUCCAUCGUGCAUACCACAUAACCAGGUCCAGAAUGCCAGUUUUCUUUAAGGGCAGCUGACAAUAAGAAUUGUCUAUGUAUGCACUACAGAUGCUGUUCAAUAUCUUUUCAUGAGGAAGCCUGCUCAAAAAGAUCGCCACAUUUUCUUUAGGGGAAGUUGACAUUAAUCUUUUAGGUUAAUAAUAACCUAUGCAUGCAGUACAGAUGCUGUUCAUCUUUUCAUAAGCAAGCCUGCUCAAGAAGCUGCUGCAUGGAAGUCAAAAUAUGAAUUAUUGCCACCAGUCUUGAAGUCAGCUUGUAAAGAAUGCUAAGAAUUGAAUGAAAAUGCUGUCUUGAUAUCUUGUUUGUACUGUUAUAUUUGUCUUUUGUGUUGGUUAAUUAUUCCAUGAAUAA